GCGGGCCCCGCUGGCCGCCAUGGCGACGGGCCGGGGGGCGGGCGGGCUCUCCCGGCGCCAGCCCAGCCUCCCUCCCGCUGGCCGCAGCCUCGACGGCUUCUGCCCGGAGGCUGGGAAGUGCCAUCGGAGCCACCGUCGCACGGCUGGUUUGCGGUGAACACCGUCAGCCCCGGUAGAUCGGUACCCGAAGUUACCGGUCUGCGGCACAGCUCGCUCUCUAACGGAGACAGCUCUAUUUUCGCCUGACAGAUUAUCUAACUGCCUGAGAAGAGGUCUGUGAAAAGGCCAGAAGAAAAUGUGCCACAGAGUGAGGGCUGAAAAUGUAACAUUUUCUUUUCAUGUGCCUCCCAGCUACCAGUAUGCCUGCUGUUCUUUCAUCUCCUUUUUCCUUUCUACCUCCUUCUGUGCAGUCAUGUCUUAAUUGCAGCUGUAUUAACACAGUCAAAAA